rnacentral:rRNA from 1 species
AUGGAAGAGGGCUAUUUCUUCCUUAGGAGGUCGUGCCUUUGUUCUUCACAGGAAGCAGUAGCAGAGAGGGGCUCGGGUCUUCUCUCCUUUGUUCAGAUAGCGUGUCCCAUGGAGAACAAGAGUGCUGCUAAGGGGGUUUGUGGGGAAAGAGAUACACAGGGGGUGGUGAGUACUGGAGAAGAGAUGGAAUCGGCGGCGGUGGUGAGGACUCGUGUGACGGCCAGGGGGGACGACCCCCUUCUUGGCCGUACGGUGGCGGAGCACAAGGGGAAGUUGGCUAUGAGACGCUUCCGGGGUGAGGCUCCUCCUCUUGUCAUCGACAUGGAGGCUGCUAGGAGGGCCGUCUUUGGCUUCCUGGUAGUUGGACGCUUCUUGGCACCUUUCUAG